rnacentral:rRNA from 1 species
GCACGUAGGCGGUUUUUUAAGUCAGAUGUGAAAGCCCCGGGCUCAACCUGGGAAUUGCAUUUGAAACUGGAAAACUAGAGUGUGUGAGAGGGGGGUAGAAUUCCAAGUGUAGCGGUGAAAUGCGUAGAGAUUUGGAGGAAUACCAGUGGCGAAGGCGGCCCCUGGCACAACACUGACGCUCAGGUGCGAAAGCGUGGGGAGCAAACAGGAUUAGAUACCCUGGUAGUCCACGCCGUAAACGAUGUCUACUAGCUGUUCGUGGUCUUGUACUGUGAGUAGCGCAGCUAACGCAUUAAGUAGACUGCCUGGGGAGUACGGUCGCAAGAUUAAAACUCAAAUGAAUUGACGGGGGCC